rnacentral:lncRNA from 1 species
GAAAUCGCUCAAGUAAUAUAAUGAUAAAUAAGAGAUCGUUCCCACGAGGACUGAGUUUAAUUAUCAAAAAUGAAUGCUAAUUUUACUAAUAUCUAAAUGAUCGAAACUGAAUGAUAAUGGAAAAUAAAAUUAACUCUAAAGAACUCAAUGAAAGCUGAAUCAAAAUUCGAUUGAUAAAGUACUAGGGUAUAUCUGAUUUCACUUGGACCAAUUAUCAAUUCCAGC